rnacentral:lncRNA from 1 species
UUGUACUAGCAACUAACCAUGUUUAAAAGGUCUUAGCCAGAAUUACAAAAACAAAACAUUUAGAGUAAUACUUAUGAAUACAAGCAUAAUUGGUUCCUUGCCUUCUACAAAUAACCAUCUUGAAAAUGAUAAAAGCAGGUUUCAACUGUGGUUCUUCUCUCGGUUGAGAAGGUGCAGAUACACAUGGGUGAUCUACUGAUUUACCUUCUGAAAGUACUCUUUGGAAGCAGCUGGACUUGGCUUGCUCUUAGUGCAAGACCAGAACCUUCUAACAGCACACUGUAGUCUCGGGAAAUCUGCUUAGUUAAGUCUGACAAGAGUGCGAUGUUCAUGUGGCCCAAACCACCAUUCUUUCUUGGUGUAUUUAUCCAGGCAAGAUGGCUAAAGUGGGAAUCCACUGAGACUGCGACAACUUCACAGUUCACGUCGUGAAAUUCGUUAGCUUUGUCACUAAAAGCAACAAUUUCUGUAGGACACACAAAGGUGAAAUCCAAAGGAUAGAAGAAAAGCACCAAAUAUUUCCCCUUAAAGUCAUCAAGGCUUAGGUCUUUGAACUCUCCAUUGACAAUGGCUGUACCCUUAAAAUAGGGUGCAUGCUGGGUGACAGCAGGUGCAUGGCAUGAGGAACUGGUGCUGAAUAAUUUUGCUUGACUGGAACCAGAACACAAUAAAUUUGUCAAGCUCGUUCUUCCACAUGCAGCAGGCCUGAGGGCUGCAGUGGCAGAAAUGCCCCAAGGAAUGGCACUCGCAUGUCGGGCAACCGACGCUCGGAGCAACCGUCCUA